rnacentral:rRNA from 1 species
GUGGGGAAUAUUGGACAAUGGGCGCAAGCCUGAUCCAGCCAUGCCGCGUGUGUGAAGAAGGUCUUCGGAUUGUAAAGCACUUUAAGUUGGGAGGAAGGGCAGUAAGUUAAUACCUUGCUGUUUUGACGUUACCGACAGAAUAAGCACCGGCUAACUUCGUGCCAGCAGCCGCGGUAAUACGAAGGGUGCAAGCGUUAAUCGGAAUUACUGGGCGUAAAGCGCGCGUAGGUGGUUUUGUAAGUUGGAGGUGAAAUCCCCGGGCUCAACCUGGGAACUGCCUCCAAAACUGCAUGACUAGAGUACGGUAGAGGGUAGUGGAAUUUCCUGUGUAGCGGUGAAAUGCGUAGAUAUAGGAAGGAACACCAGUGGCGAAGGCGACUACCUGGACUGAUACUGACACUGAGGUGCGAAAGCGUGGGGAGCAAACAGGAUUAGAUACCCGAGUAGUCC